AUUAAACGCUGGCGGCAUGCCUUACACAUGCAAGUCGAACGGUAACGGGUCCUUCGGGAUGCCGACGAGUGGCGAACGGGUGAGUAAUAUAUCGGAACGUGCCCAGUAGUGGGGGAUAACUGCUCGAAAGAGCAGCUAAUACCGCAUACGACCUGAGGGUGAAAGGGGGGGAUCGCAAGACCUCUCGCUAUUGGAGCGGCCGAUAUCAGAUUAGCUAGUUGGUGGGGUAAAGGCCUACCAAGGCAACGAUCUGUAGUUGGUCUGAGAGGACGACCAGCCACACUGGGACUGAGACACGGCCCAGACUCCUACGGGAGGCAGCAGUGGGGAAUUUUGGACAAUGGGCGCAAGCCUGAUCCAGCAAUGCCGCGUGCAGGAAGAAGGCCUUCGGGUUGUAAACUGCUUUUGUCAGGGAAGAAAUCUUCUGGGCUAAUACCCCGGGAGGAUGACGGUACCUGAAGAAUAAGCACCGGCUAACUACGUGCCAGCAGCAGCCGCCG
rnacentral:rRNA from 1 species